AUGAAGAAAGUUGGAGAAAAGGUGUCCCCUGAUUUGAAGUCCAACGAAUAUUUCCAUGGCCGUUUAAACUUAGUCGUGUGGGCUUCUGAGACUCCUAGUGAAUUUGAGGAGCGAUGGUCCCAUGUUAUUGAAGAGUUUGGAUUGGAAGAGAAUGAGUGGUUCACUAAAAGGUUUGAGCUUCGAGAAUCUUGGAUACCAGCUUAUUUCAAUGAUAUAGCUCUCUCUGGGCUGCUCAGAACCACAUCACGAUCUGAAAGCGCCAAUGCUUUCUUCUCUCGCAUUAUUGAAAAGAAACAUGCUUUCGUUGAGUUUUGGCUUCGUUUUGAAACUGCCUUGGAGGAACAACGACACAAGGAGCUAGAAGAUGAUAAUGUUAGGAUCACCUCCAUUAAAGACAUCUUGGGGAUUGGAAAAGCAUGGGGGCAUUCAACCAUCGUUGAUGCUUCUACCAAAACUAGGACUGCUGGUGUGAAAUUCUUCAAAGAUGCAAUUUUUGCACUUGGAGAAGAACUGAACAAGAUUGUACCAGCUAAAGAACAAAGUCUAGUUCAACAGUUUGAGCAAUUUCUUGGUUGUACCAUUCCUGAUGAAGUUGGUAUCCACCCGCCAAAUGAUAUUCGCUCAAGGGGUUUUUUCUGA
rnacentral:rRNA from 1 species